ensembl:lncRNA
UGGCCCUGCCCCUCGGCACUCUGGUUGGAGCCCACCCAGCACCAGAGGAGCAAGAUGACACUCACUGGCUCUGUUUGUUCGUGGCGUGUUCCCUCUGCACUCCCGUGAUCUCACCCGGCUGUGACCUGUCACCUGGCCCGAUCCCCCGGUGGCUCUGCCUCCUGCCCCCUCCUCUGCCCGGGCGCCCCCACCCACGUGACAGCUCCUUCUGAUGACUGUAGCCUCCUGCCUCCCUCUUGUGAGGACUCUGUGACGACCUGGGCCCACCCAGGUGACGCUGUGACGACCUAGGCCCACCCAGGUGACCCUGUGAUGACCUGGGCCCACCCACGUGACCCUGUGAUGACCUGGGCCCACCCACGUGACCCUGUGAUGACCUCUGCCCACCCAGGUGACCCUGUGAUGACCUCUGCCCACCCAGGUGACCCUGUGAUGACCUCUGCCCACCCAGGUGACCCUGUAAUGACCUGGGCCUACCCAGGUGACUCUGUGAUGAUCCAGGAUAACCUCCCAUCUCCAGGUCCUUCACUUCAUCACACUUGCAGAGUUCCUUUGUCACCGAAGGUCAUGGACUCUCAGGCUCUGGGGAUCAGGGGUGUAUAUUUGGGGGGCAUUAUUCGACCACCCGUGGCGUGCC